UUGCCAGGCUGGUCUCAAUCUCUUGACCUCUCAGGUGAUCCACCCACUUUGGCCUCCCAGAGUGCUAGGAUUAUAGGCAUGAGCCACCAUGCCUGGCCCCUUUUUUUAUUUUUAAGAAAGUAGUCAUUGUGAAGUAGCAUGCCUUAGAAAGUUGCUUUUAGGAUGCCUUGGGAAAUGAUAGUCUGUAUCUCUCAGAGAACGAACUGUGGGCAUUUGGGGAAAGGAUGGCUAGCAAAUUAUUUUGGGAAUCUCUCUGGACCAAGUUGAAAUGCAUAGGUUUUCCAGGAUGACAUGGUAUUUUGGGUGGUAUAUGAGAUUGCUUGCCACUCCUUUUCUUUUAGUUAUUUUGAUCACUGCAUUUAGUUUAUAUUAAUAUCAGAGGAAUACAAUAUUAGAGUUGAAUGAAUUGAAUAGUGGGCCACUAAGUAAAAAUGGCAGGCAAUCUGAGCUAAGAAGGAUCAUUUUUUUCAGCCACUGCAUUACCGUUGUUAUAGAGUUGCUAAGGGGACUGAUAAUAAUAGAUCCUGUCAUAAGGUGAUCUUAGAACAAUUGUUAAUUAAUGUUACACAGUUCAGAACACUUGGCAAAUGAAAAGUCUCUGCAGGUGAAAUGCUGUGGAGGGGAAAGAUUUUCAGAACUUUGAUGAUGAACCAUGGUAUCAUCAUCAACAAGUUCGCUUGUUGGCUGAACCACUAUGGUUGAUAACUAUUACAAACUUUCAGCCUGUUUCAAAUAGCUGAUAAAACGAUAGUGGUUCAGCCAACAAGAUUUGAACUGAAUCUUUUUGGGAAAGAGUUGUGGUGGACAAGAGUUAAAAGGCAUGGAUUUAGUUCCUUACAAGUGUUCCCUAAAGUUGUUCAUAGUAUUAUUCCUAUUUGGCAGGCAUACAAACUCUGGCUCAAUAGAUUGAUUAAGGUGUCUAAGAGUAUACAG